AGAACGAGGUCAAAGUGUACCUGGAGAAAAUCCUGCAGAAUGAGAGAGACAAAGAAACUGUCAAAGAUGACCUGUAUGUGGACACUAUCCAGUGCAUUGAUGCCAUGAUCGAGGCGGGGAGACAAAUCAGCCAAAAACUGUCUGGCCGCGUGCAGGAUGUCUGUUUCCAAGAGCUGCUGAAUUUUCUGACACAGUACACCAAUGAGCAGACUGAGAUUCUUGAAAAAAAAGCAAAAGUGGACAAACCAGAAAUCAAAGAUGUCCUCAAGAUUUUGAAGAACUGCAAAAAGAUCAAG